UGGCGCCGGAGCUCGGAAGGGUCGAGGGACGAGGACCAAGAGGAAGAUGAAGAAAGAUCUGAACUGAGGCCAGAACAUCGGAGAAUGGUGCGGGGGGUUCCUGUGGCCGGGGUUGAACGCGCCCAUCCUGAAGAGUGGGGCCAUACAGAACAUGUCCCGCCGUGUGGAGUCGGAGCAACAGGAACUGCAGGGGGAGCUUCUGCGGCAGCGUGACGAAUGGGAUUGCAGGAUGAGGGUGAAGAGGGAGCGAGGGUGGACUGGCAACUCCUGGGGCGGCAUCAGUCUGGGGCCCCCUGACCCUGGACCCAACGGAGGCCAAGAACCGAGCAGUUCACUAUCUGUACUACAUUGAGAGAUACAACGACCACACUAUUUACCAUGAUAUCAACUCCACCUUCAAGAGGACCACCCUACUCAUGAAGAAACAGCGCCGAGGUGUGGUAGAGCAUUUUGGGGCGGCAGGGUAGCCUAGUGGUUAGAGCGUUGGGCUAGUAACCGAGAGGUUGCAAGUUUGAAUCCC